rnacentral:rRNA from 1 species
UACGAAGGUCCCAAGCGUUGUUCGGAAUCACUGGGCGUAAAGGGAGCGUAGGCGGCGUGGUAAGUCAGAUGUGAAAUCCCCGGGGCUCAACCCCGGAACUGCAUCCGAUACUGCCAUGCUAGAGGAUUGGAGAGGUAGCUGGAAUUCUUGGUGUAGCAGUGAAAUGCGUAGAGAUCAAGAGGAACACUCGUGGCGAAAGCGAGCUACUGGACAAUUCCUGACGCUGAGGCUCGAAGGCUAGGGUAGCGAAAGGG